rnacentral:rRNA from 1 species
AGCAGCCGCGGUAAUUCCAGCUCCAAUAGCGUAUAUUAAAAUUGUUGCAGUUAAAAAGCUCGUAGUUGAAUUUCGGGAUCAACACGUCGGUCGUGCCUUCGGUACGCACUAGCGUCGUUGGUUCCUCCCUUCUGACGAACCAUGAUGUCAUUAACUUGGUGUUUUGGGGGGUUAGGACUGUUACUUUGAAAAAAUUAGAGUGUUUAAAGCAGGCAAUCGCUUGAAUACAUUAGCAUGGAAUAAUGAAAUAGGACGUCCGAUCCUAUUUCGUUGGUUUCUAGGAUCAACGUAAUGAUUAAUAGGGAUAGUUGGGGGCAUUAGUAUUCAAUUGUCAGAGGUGAAAUUCUUGGAUUUAUUGAAGACUAACUACUGCGAAAGCAUUUGCAAGGAUGUUUUCAUUAAUCAAGACGAAAGUUAGGGGAUCGAAGACGAUCAGAUACCGUCGUAGUCUUAACCAUAAACUAUGCCGACUAGGGAUCGGAUGAUGUAAUUUUUAAUGACUCAUUCGGCGCCUUACGGG